rnacentral:rRNA from 1 species
CCUACGGGUGACAGCAGUGAGGAAUAUUGGUCAAUGGACGCAAGCCUGAACCAGCCAAGUAGCGUGCAGGAUGACGGCCCUACGGGUUGUAAACUGCUUUUAUGCGGGGAUAACCCGCCUUACGUGUGGCUCUUUGCAUGUACCGUAUGAAUAAGGACCGGCUAAUUCCGUGCCAGCAGCCGCGGUAAUACGGAAGGUCCGGGCGUUAUCCGGAUUUAUUGGGUUUAAAGGGAGCGUAGGCCGCCGCUCAAGCGUGCUGUGAAAUGCCGGGGCUCAACCCGGGCCUUGCAGCGCGAACUGGGGGGCUUGAGUGCGCGGAAAGCAGGCGGAAUUCGUCGUGUAGCGGUGAAAUGCUUAGAUAUGACGAAGAACCCCGAUUGCGAAGGCAGCCUGCCGUAGCGUAACUGACGCUGAGGCACGAAAGCGUGGGUAUCGAACAGGAUUAGAUACCCCGGUAGUC